UUUUCACAAAGAAAUUGGCACUCUUACACAAGGGAUUAUGACCGUUUCCAAUUAUUUUCACUCUCAAAACUAGGAAUGGCAAUGGAGCAGAGCAGGGCGGGUGUGGUGUACUUUUUUUCUUAACCCACGAAUUUAAAAACUACACUGCCCUGUACUGCAUAAUCUUUUAACCCGCAUAAACCCGCCACACACCCAUACCUGUGCAAACCCACCCUACCUCGCCCUGCAUUUGAGAAAUUUUUAACUCCAAUAAUAUAGGAAUUUAUAAAGCUGGUAAGAGAAUUUACAAUUUUUUUUAUGAGAAAUCCAAUAACGAAGUCAGCCUCUUUGUAUAGUAUAUAUUAUUCAGUUCCUUGGUUUUUCUUUUUUAGAUAGAACUACAUCUUAAUUAAAUAGAUCCAAAGCUCUUAUUUCAAGUUUCUUUUAAUAAUAAACAAUGAUAUUUAGUAGGAACAAAAGGUACCCAGAAAGAGAUAACAUAUGCAUCAGAUUAGAAAGCUCCAAUACUUGGAUUCAUGGUGUGAUUAAACUUUCUUACGGUAGGAAGAGUACAUCCACCCCACAACCUCAAAAAUUUCUUUCUUUUGGACAUCAACCCGCCCCACCCCUCCCCAUAUCUGCAUAGCUCACAAAUCCGCCCUGCCUCGAAAAGCUCAAAUUCGCCCCGUUCUAUUGCCAUCCCUACUCAAAGCUCUAUGGGAUAUGUAUGAUGAUGCCUUAUCCUGGAUGUCCUUGUCUAGAAUCAGUCAAAUUUAUUGAGUAUUUUGGUUAUCAAAGGCUACUUCAAUUUCUUCUAGGACUCAAUGAGUUAUAUACUCAGCCUAGGAGUCAAAUAUUGAUGAUGUAUCCUCUUCCUUCUAUGAACAAAGAAUAUUCACUUUCAUGGAUCAAGAAAGUUACAGGAGUUUAGUUACAUUGCCUCUUUCAUCUCAAGCCACUGGUACAUGUUAAGGAGUUGCUUUUUAUAUUAAUAAAUCUGCUGGUGGACUCGAGGGAGUAGCUUUCUCUACUAACAAACCUAGGUCUGAUUUCAAGCCUGGGAAGAAUGAGUUUAUGUAUUAAAAGUAUUUCACUACAAAGGACACACUAAGGAAAAUAUCAAGGUGAUAAAGGAAAGAAGAAAGUCCCUAACUCUAAUUCAUUUGCUAAUCAAGCUAGUUACACAGCUGGGAACCAUACUGAUACUGUGUCUAAUCCUAAGAACACUGUCAAGCACCCAGUUCAUGAAAUAAGAGGUGUCAAGGGACAGGUUACUUAGGUGGUUGGUCCUUUCUAUAUCUAAGAUCGGAAUCUUGCCUCAAUAGCUACUUACAUUGGCAAUGCUACUCCUUCUCUUAUUGGCGCUGCACCAGGUCCUUACUUCCUAAUGAGCAGUAUCACCAGAUCUUACAAGUGCUAAGUAAAGGAGGAUACAAAGUGAACCCAUCCAUCUGCUAUUCAGCAGCUGCUGCAGAUUCUACUGACCUUUGGUACAAAGACUAGGUCAUGCACCUGUAGAUAUAAUGAAAAGGCAUGAAGUUAUGAGUAAACUUUCUCCAGUUGAUCAUCAUUGCACUGUUUGUCCUUCAGCUAAGAAGACUAAUCAAGUUUCUUCUUUGAGUAAUUCCGUUCCUAGUGCAGCAUUAAACUGAUUCACUAUGAUGUUUUUGACCUUUUUAUGGUGCCUGCCUAUGUUGGCAAGAGAUUUCUUCUGAAUAAUUUUGCUGAUUUUAUAAGAUAUACUUGGAUUUGUUCUGUG